rnacentral:misc_RNA from 1 species
GUGAAUAUAGCGCAUCUCUUCGGAGAGCGUGACCUCCACUUUCAACUCUGUGCAUUUUUUUGGCGAGGGAACGAGACGAAGCGACGCAAGUUGCAGACUCUCGCCUCUUGCGGCUCAUUUUAAACACUAGUUAAAGUAUGUAACGAAAUAUCGAAACAAAAAA